UCCUAAAGCACAGGUGAAUAAGGGGUGGGCAAGUCUGGUGUCAGCCGCCGCGGUAAUACCAGCACCUCGAGUGGUCAGGACGUUUAUUGGGCCUAAAGCAUCCGUAGCCGGCUCUGCAAGUCUUCGGUUAAAUCCACCUGCUCAACAGAUGGGCUGCUGGGGAUACUGCAGAGCUAGGGAGUGGGAGAGGCAGACGGUAUUCAGUGGGUAGGGGUAAAAUCCUCUGAUCCAUUGAGGACCACCAGUGGCGAAGGCGGUCUGCCAGAACACGUUCGACGGUGAGGGAUGAAAGCUGGGGGAGCAAACCGGAUUAGAUACCCGGGUAGUCCCAGCUGUAAACGAUGCAAACUCGGUGAUGCAUUGGCUUAUGGCCAAUGCAGUGCCGCAGGGAAGCCGUUAAGUUUGCCGCCUGGGAAGUACGGACGCAAGUCUGAAACUUAAAGGAAUUGGCGGGGGAGCACCACAAGGGGUGAAGCCUGCGGUUCAAUUGGAGUCAACGCCAGGAAUCUUACCCGGGGAGACAGCAGAAUGAAGGUCAAGCUGAAGACUUACCAGACAAGUGAGAGGAGGCAU
rnacentral:rRNA from 1 species